GGGCGCAUGGUGUAGUUGGUUAUCACGCUCGCUUAGCAUAACAGCUAUAUGAUGUUUGCGAGAGGUGUUGGGUUCAAUUCCCAAUGCGUCCA